rnacentral:misc_RNA from 1 species
AAAGUCGUAACAAGGUUUCCGUAGGUGAACCUGCGGAAGGAUCAUUACUGAAUCCCUUUCAAACAUGCGGUGCGCGCGCUCCGCCGGGCUUCUCGGCCUGGCGGGCGCCGCACGCAUCAACCCACCCUGUGUGCACGCAAUGAACCUUGUUUUGCCUUUCUCCCACGGGCCAGCCCGCCGGGCGGCCCGUGCGCGAAACGCAUUUCCAACCCCACACUACACCCCACACCACAAGAAGCAUUGGCAAACACACAACAAACCAAGCGACAACUUUUAACGGUGGAUCUCUUGGCUCGU